AUACGGAGGAUCCGAGCGUUAUCCGGAUUUAUUGGGUUUAAAGGGAGCGUAGGCGGGAGAUCAAGUCAGCUGUGAAAUGUAGAUGCUCAACAUCUGCACUGCAGUUGAAACUGGUUUUCUUGAGUGCGUAAGGGGCAGGCGGAAUUCGUCGUGUAGCGGUGAAAUGCUUAGAUAUGACGAAGAACUCCGAUCGCGAAGGCAGCCUGCCGGGCCGCGACUGACGCUGAAGCUCGAAGGUGCGGGUAUCGAACAGGAUUAGAUACCCUGGUAGUCCGCACAGUAAACGAUGGAUACUCGCUGUCGGCGAUAUACGGUCGGUGGCCAAGCGAAAGCGUUAAGUAUCCCACCUGGGGAGUACGCCGGCAACGGUGAAACUUAAAGGAAUUGGCGGGG
rnacentral:rRNA from 1 species